CCUACGGGUGGCAGCAGUGAGGAAUAUUGGUCAAUGGACGAGAGUCUGAACCAGCCAAGUAGCGUGAAGGAUGACUGCCCUAUGGGUUGUAAACUUCUUUUAUAUGGGAAUAAAAUGUUCCACGUGUGGGAUUUUGUAUGUACCAUAUGAAUAAGGAUCGGCUAACUCCGUGCCAGCAGCAGCGGUAAUACGGAGGAUACGAGCGUUAUCCGGAUUUAUUGGGUUUAAAGGGAGCGUAGGUGGAUUGUUAAGUCAGUUGUGAAAGUUUGCGGCUCAACCGUAAAAUUGCAGUUGAAACUGGCAGUCGUGAGUACAGUAGAGGUGGGCGGAAUUCGUGGUGUAGCGGUGAAAUGCUUAGAGAUCACGAAGAACUCCGAUUGCGAAGGCAGCUCACUGGACUGCAACUGACACUGAGGCUCGAAAGUGUGGGUAUCAAACAGGAUUAGAUACCCCUGUAGUC
rnacentral:rRNA from 1 species